AGAUGUAUAGAUGCAUUGACAUGAAUGCAGAGGAUCCUCAAUAUCAACGCAUCUUUCGGCAUGACGAACACAACCAACCAUUCGCGUCAUACAUCAACUGGCGCAGGAUGAACGCGACCGAUACCCACUCGCGGAAAGGGUCCUUCGACACGAAAUAUACGUUGAUGACGUACAAAGCGGAGCUUCCACUCGCGAAGGAGCAUUAGAAAUUCAAAAUCAAUUGAUCAGAGCCUUACGAUCAGCAGGAAUACCUCCAUUUAUCUCAUAAGACUGUAUUAGAGUUUGAGUACCAAGAUCCCGUUAAAACCUGAGGCCUCUAUUGGCAUCCACAUCAAGAUAAAUUAAACAUUAAGAUAAAUUUUGAAAUCAGUCAAGCACA
rnacentral:sRNA from 1 species